rnacentral:rRNA from 1 species
AAUGGGUCAGCGACUUAUAUUCUGUAGCAAGGUUAACCGAAUAGGGGAGCCGAAGGGAAACCGAGUCUUAACUGGGCGUUAAGUUGCAGGGUAUAGACCCGAAACCCGGUGAUCUAGCCAUGGGCAGGUUGAAGGUUGGGUAACACUAACUGGAGGACCGAACCGACUAAUGUUGAAAAAUUAGCGGAUGACUUGUGGCUGGGGGUGAAAGGCCAAUCAAACCGGGAGAUAGCUGGUUCUCCCCGAAAGCUAUUUAGGUAGCGCCUCGUGAAUUCAUCUCCGGGGGUAGAGCACUGUUUCGGCAAGGGGGUCAUCCCGACUUACCAACCCGAUGCAAACUGCGAAUACCGGAGAAUGUUAUCACGGGAGACACACGGCGGGUGCUAACGUCCGUCGUGAAGAGGGAAACAACCCAGACCGCCAGCUAAGGUCCCAAAGUCAUGGUUAAGUGGGAAACGAUGUGGGAAGGCCCAGACAGCCAGGAUGUUGGCUUAGAAGCAGCCAUCAUUUAAAGAAAGCGUAAUAGCUCACUGGUCGAGUCGGCCUGCGCGGAAGAUGUAACGGGGCUAAACCAUGCACCGAAGCUGCGGCAGCGACGCUGAUGCGUUGUUGGGUAGGGGAGCGUUCUGUAAGCCUGUGAA